GAUGAACGCUAGCUACAGGCUUAACACAUGCAAGUCGAGGGGCAGCAUGAUUGAAGCUUGCUUCAAUUGAUGGCGACCGGCGCACGGGUGAGUAACACGUAUCCAACCUUCCGUACACUCAGGGAUAGCCUUUCGAAAGAAAGAUUAAUACCUGAUGGUAUCUUAAGCACACAUGUAAUUAAGAUUAAAGAUUUAUCGGUGUACGAUGGGGAUGCGUUCCAUUAGGUAGUAGGCGGGGUAACGGCCCACCUAGCCUACGAUGGACAGGGGUUCUGAGAGGAAGGUCCCCCACAUUGGAACUGAGACACGGUCCAAACUCCUACGGGAGGCAGCAGUGAGGAAUAUUGGUCAAUGGACGAGAGUCUGAACCAGCCAAGUAGCGUGAAGGAUGAAGGGUCCUACGGAUUGUAAACUUCUUUUAUAAGGGAAUAAAAACCUCCCACGUG
rnacentral:rRNA from 1 species